GGGGGAAUAUUGCACAAUGGAGGGAACUCUGAUGCAGCGACGCCGCGUGAACGAAGAAGGCUUUCGAGUCGUAAAGUUCUUUUAUAUGGGAAGAUAAUGACGGUACCAUAAGAAAAAGCCCCGGCUAACUACGUGCCAGCAGCCGCGGUAAUACGUAGGGGGCUAGCGUUGUCCGGAAUCACUGGGCGUAAAGGGUUCGCAGGCGGAAAUGCAAGUCAGGUGUAAAAGGCAGUAGCUUAACUACUGUAAGCAUUUGAAACUGCAUAUCUUGAGAAGAGUAGAGGUCAGUGGAAUUUUUAGUGUAGCGGUGAAAUGCGUAGAUAUUAAAAAGAAUACCGGUGGCGAAGGCGACUUACUGGGCUCAUUCUGACGCUGAGGAACGAAAGCGUGGGUAGCAAACAGG
rnacentral:rRNA from 1 species